GACGAACGCUGGCGGCGUGCUUAACACAUGCAAGUCGAACGGAAAGGCCCUGCUUUUGUGGGGUGCUCGAGUGGCGAACGGGUGAGUAACACGUGAGUAGCCUGCCCUUGACUUUGGGAUAACUUCAGGAAACUGGGGCUAAUACCGGAUAGGAGCUCCUGCUGCAUGGUGGGGGUUGGAAAGUUUCGGCGGUUGGGGAUGGACUCGCGGCUUAUCAGCUUGUUGGUGGGGUAGUGGCUUACCAAGGCUUUGACGGGUAGCCGGCCUGAGAGGGUGACCGGCCACAUUGGGACUGAGAUACGGCCCAGACUCCUACGGGAGGCAGCAGUGGGGAAUAUUGCACAAUGGGCGGAAGCCUGAUGCAGCAACGCCGCGUGCGGGAUGACGGCCUUCGGGUUGUAAACCGCUUUCGCCUGCGACGAAGCGUGAGUGACGGUAAUGGGUAAAGAAGCACCGGCUAACUACGUG
rnacentral:rRNA from 1 species